AACGAACGCUGGCGGCAGGCCUAACACAUGCAAGUCGAGCGAGGUAGCAAUACCUAGCGGCGGACGGGUGAGUAACGCGUGGGAACGUACCCUUUGCUACGGAAUAGCCUCGGGAAACUGGGAGUAAUACCGUAUGUGCCCUUCGGGGGAAAGGAUUUAUCGGCAAAGGAUCGGCCCGCGUUGGAUUAGGUAGUUGGUGGGGUAAUGGCCUACCAAGCCUACGAUCCAUAGCUGGUUUGAGAGGAUGAUCAGCCACACUGGGACUGAGACACGGCCCAGACUCCUACGGGAGGCAGCAGUGGGGAAUCUUAGACAAUGGGCGCAAGCCUGAUCUAGCCAUGCCGCGUGAGUGACGAAGGCCUUAGGGUUGUAAAGCUCUUUCAGCUGGGAAGAUAAUGACGGUACCAGCAGAAGAAGCCCCGGCUAACUCCGUG
rnacentral:rRNA from 1 species